rfam:Rattus norvegicus chromosome 10, whole genome shotgun sequence.
GGGGAUUUAGCUCAGUGGUAGGGCACUUGCCUAGCAAGCGCAAGGCCCUGGGUUCGGUCCCCAGCUCCA